AGUGAACGCUGGCGGUAGGCCUAACACAUGCAAGUCGAACGGCAGCACAGUAAGAGCUUGCUCUUACGGGUGGCGAGGGGCGGACGGGUGAGGAAUACAUCGGAAUCUACUUUUUCGUGGGGGAUAACGGGGGGAAACUGACGCUAAUACCGCAUACGACCUACGGGUGAAAGCAGGGGAGCUUCGGACCUUGCGCGAUUGAAUGAGCCGAUGUCGGAUGAGCUUGUUGGCGAGGUAAAGGCUCACCAAGGCCACGAUGCGUAGCCGACCUGAGAGGGUGAUCGGCCACCCUGGAACUGAGACGCGGUCCAGACUCCUACGGGAGGCAGCAGUAGGGAAUCUUCCGCACUGGGCGACAGCCUGACGGAGCAACGCCGCGUGAGUGAUGAAGGUCUUCGGAUCGUAAAACUCUGUUAUUGUGGAAGAACAAAUGUGUAAGUAACUAUGCACGUCUUGACGGUACCUAAUCAGAAAGCCACGGCUAACUACGUG
rnacentral:rRNA from 1 species